rnacentral:rRNA from 1 species
AUGCUUCCUCUCCCUCUCUCAUCGAUCUUCUCCACCUCACGACAGGAGCCGUCCAAUAGAUCGUGGCCGAGAGCUGUGGUGGAGGCGGCGGUCUUCAUGGCCCGCGGAGUUGAGGGAGAGGUGAGGAGGAAGGUGUUGACUCUGUUGAAGGAGGCAAAGGCAGCAAUACAGCAAAUCGAGUUGUUGCUAGGCCAGACGCCCAAGGUGGACGGACCAGAUGGUCAACGAUUCCGCAAGCGGCAGUGGGAAUUCGAAGAAACAGAGGAGGAAGAAGAGGAGGAGGUCCCCGGCGAGGGCUGCGGUGGAGACUGGUUGGAUGCCCUCAGCAAGGAGGACCUACUCGAGUACGUCAACGGAUUUGAUGUACGCGACACUAACCAAGGUUCGCUUGUGACCCAGGAUGCCGAUGUCCGCGUCCGUGUAGAAGAUGUCUCGCCCAUGCCGCUCAAUUUUGUUCAACACGACGUCCAUGUCCUUGGCGGUUGCCCAAGUUCAGGAACAGGAUGCAUGUGCGGAAACAAGCUCAGCUGCUUCCCAAGCAGUGGUGUGCAUGUCCUUAGUACAGGGAGCUUGCCCAUCUUGGCCGGUGAAGAGGUACUGCCCGAGGACGCUGAGACCCAGGACGACAAUGAGGUGCUGCCCGACGACGCCGAGACCAACGGCAGAGAGGUGCUGCCCGAGGGCGCCGAUAUCGACGGCGGACACAUGUUGCCCGAGGACGCUGAGACCGGCGACAGCGUAGACGUGCUGCUCGAGGACGCCCAGACCGACAACGGCGUUGAGUUGCUGCUCCAGGACGCCCAGACCGACGACAGCGUUGAGUUGCUGCUCCAGGACGCCCAGACCGACGACGGUGUAGAGUUGCUGCCUAAAGACGGUGAAGCGGCACUGCCCGAGGAUGCUGACAGUGAUGUAUCUUUUGUGCCUGACUCUAUGCCCGCUCACGGUGGCGACUCGCUCGAUGAAUCGACGAUGGAGGAACCAGUACAGUAUGCAUGA